GGAGCCGGGGGGCACAGACGGAACAAAGUGGAGGAUACCACCGAGAGCGCGGGCAGGGCACCGGGUUUGGGGAGUGGUAUCUGGAGGGGAUGGGGCUCAGGAAGGAGGGUGGCGGGGCAGCUACAAAGGAAGCCCUUUCCGGAGAAGGCCGGGUCCCCGUCCCUCAUUGAGAAGAAAGCAAGCUCGGGCCGGGGGUAGGAGUAGGUGGGGGAGCCCUCCCACCAGUAGGAAGCUCAGGUUACAGCAGGAUAACUUGGGCAAGGGGAGGGGGCCCGCGUCCCGCGCCAGCCGCGGCCAGCUCCUGGGCGGGGGCGCAUGCAACAAAUGGGCGCCAGAAGCGCGCGGCGCGGAGGCGGGCCGGGCUCCAGGGACUCGGGGCUGGAGGCCGCCCUGCUCGCUCCCCGUGGGCUCGUAAACAAAGGGCAGCGCCAGUCGGCCAGAGUCCUCUGGGUCCCGAGGCACAGGACUUCCCGCCCGGGCCUGCGAUGCGAGGGUUCCCACCCAGGCCGGGAGGCGCGCGCGGGAAGGCGGCCGCGCACCGGAGACUCACUUGGAGGACCAGCCGCGCCACUUGACCAGGAGGAUCUUUCACGAAAGGAGGGGAGUCACUGGGUUCGGAUUCUCUCACCGCAGUGACUCACACAACGAUGGACAGAGUUCCUGGACCUGGAUGGAGUAUGGGAGCUGCUCAAAGGAAUGUAGCUGUUGCAACUCAGGGUUUCCUGAACUCCAAGGCAAGGGACCUGAUGAAGACCUCCAACCUGGACUCUUUCUCCUCCUGAGCCAUACUUUGAAUCUCGGCAUUUGGGAGUCAGGGCAGGAGGAUCCCUGUGAGUUCUACACCAGCCAGGAUUAAGUAAUGAGUAAAAAUCAGGAAGAAAGAAAGAAAGAAAGAAAGAAAGAAAGAAAGAAAGAAAGAAAGAAAGAGAAAGAAGGAAAGAAAGAAAGGAAGAAAGAAAGAAAGAAAGAAAGAAAGAGAAAGAGUGGGUGGAUUCAGGAGCAGGGUGGGGAAAGGGUAUAGGGGACUUUCAGGAUAGCAUUUGAAAUGUAAAUGAAGAAAAUAUCUAAUAAAAUUGUUUAAAGAAAGAAAGAAAGAAAGAAGUAAAAAAGAAAGUAGGCUCCCUCCUGAAUUUUCACUGGGAGGAACUCAUACAGAAAGGUAAUGGGCUUUUAAAUAGAAAAUUUUAUCAUUGCUGUAUUAAUGGCUGUUGGAACAUGGUCCAAGAAAGGAGUAGUUCCAGGGAAUUCUGAGUGCUUGUGAGAAAAGUCCAAGAAAACAAGAGAACAGUCUUGUGACACAGAAUUGCUCUCGGACUGUGCUUUUGUGCCCUCCUCGGAGUAGGAGAUCGGAAUGAGUUUACUUCACAUUAUUCAUUACAUCGGCUCUUAUCUGUUUAAAUGCCCUAUGGAAAACCAUGUUUUAACCACAUAUUGGUUUGGCCUUGUGAUUGGACACUUGACUCGUGUGAGUCUUCUUAAUCCUUAGAGUAUAAAUUAUCUGAUGCUCUGAAUAAAUUUGGCUGUUGGAUGAGGGUUUAGUCUGCCUCGUUUUUGAAAGACUUGUUUAUCUCAUGUAUACAUAUAUACAUGAGAUAAACAGAUAUGAGGUAUAUGAGAUAACAGAUAUGAGAUAUAUAUAUAUAUGUGUGAUCUGUCUUCAUGCACACCAGAAGAGGGCAUCAGAUCCCAUUACAGAUGGUUGUGAGCCACCAUGUGGUUGUUGAGAAUUGAACUCAGGACCUCUGGAAGAACAGGCAGUGCUCUUAACCACUGAGCCAUCUCUCCUGCCUAUAGUCUGCCUCAUUUUUAGGCUCUUUCUCUCAGGUCCCAUCUAGAGUAAUAAGCAAUGGUUGGCCUCUGUACUGGCUGGUUUUGUGUGCCAACUUGAUACAAGCUGAAGUUACCACAGAGAAAGGAACCUCCCUUGAGGAAAUGCCUUCAUGAGAUUCAGCUGUAAGGCAUUUUCUCAGUUAGUGAGGGCCCAGCCCAUUGUGGGUGGUGCCAUCCCUGGGCUGGGAGUCCUGGGUUCUAUAAGAAAGCAGGCUGAGCAAGCCAGGGUAAGCAAGCCAGUAAGGAACAUCCCUCCAUGGCCUCUGUAUCAUCUCCUGCUUCCUGACCUGCUUGAGUUCCAGUCCUGACUUCCUUUGGUGAUGAACAGCAGUAUGGAAGUGUAAGCUGAAUAAAUCCUUUCCUCCUCAACUGGCUUCUUGGUCAUGAUGUUUGUGCAGGAAUAGGAAUCCUGACUAAGACAGCCUCUCAUUUGAAUUUUCUGUCCAGUGCUUUUGGCCGAAUGUCCCUCUUUUCUCCUUCCUAGUCAGGGUCUCUAACUCACUGCAUAUCCAAGGAUGACCUUAAGCUUCUGAUUUCCUGGGCCUGUACUGGGCCUGUACUGGGCCUGUACUGGGCUGGGUUAUGAGUCUGUGCUACCACACCUGCUUUUGAUUUUUAUGUGCUGGGAACUAGGUGCGGGGCUUCGCGCAUGCUGACCUAACACUCUACUAAACAGAACUAGUAAUGAACCCCUGCCCUAAAAUAAACUUUAAAGAAACCCA